AAGGCAACGGGAAUCAGUCUGUGGCAAUAUUACAUCAGGGACCAUUUCAGUAGAGCCUUUUAAGACACAUGUUUUGGAAUACAGUCAAAUGCGUGCUGCUGUAUGACCAGCCUAUUUGAACUACUUAAGCAUCAACUAAUUAAUCUGCAAGUGAAGAAUACUUCCAGCAUUACUCUAUAAUUAGACAAUCUCAGGAGGAAACAAGAGGAUUUCAAAGGGGAGUCAGAUGGUUUCGCAGACCGCUACAUCAUUUAUUUUUUCAUCACUCAGAUUAUGCCUCCAAAUCCUACAGAAGUAUAACAACCAUAGAACAGACAAACACCAACAGCAUCAACAACAGAGAAACUCAGUCCAGGAGGAUAUGAAACCCUUUGUAAUAAAGAAAGCAACAUCCAUGAACAUUUGUGUACAUGUGUCUUUAUGGUAGAAUGAUUUCUAUUCCUUUGAGUAUAUACCCAGCAAUGGGAUUGUUG
rnacentral:lncRNA from 1 species